rnacentral:rRNA from 1 species
UGGGAACGCGAAGAACCUUACCUACCCUUGACAUGCCAGGGAGCCGGAUGAGAGUUCGGUGUGCCCGAAAGGGAGCCUGGACACAGGUGCUGCAUGGCUGUCGUCAGCUCGUGUCGUGAGAUGUUGGGUUAAGUCCCGCAACGAGCGCAACCCUUGCCACUAGUUGCUACUUUAAUCGGAGCACUCUAGUGGGACUGCCGGUGACAAACCGGAGGAAGGUGGGGAUGACGUCAAGUCCUCAUGGCCCUUAUGGGUAGGGCUUCACACGUCAUACAGUGGCGCAUACAGAGGGUAGCCAACCCGCGAGGGGGAGCCAAUCUCAGAAAGUGCGUCGUAGUCCGGAUUGUUCUCUGCAACUCGAGAGCAUGAAGUCGGAAUCGCUAGUAAUCGCGGAUCAGCAUGUCGCGGUGAAUACGUUCCCGGGUCUUGUACACACCG